UAGGGAAUCUUCCACAAUGGACGCAAGUCUGAUGGAGCAACGCCGCGUGAGUGAAGAAGGCUUUCGGGUCGUAAAACUCUGUUAUUGAAGAAGAACGUGUGUGACAGUAACUGGUCAUGCAGUGACGGUAUUCAAUCAGAAAGUCACGGCUAACUACGUGCCAGCAGCCGCGGUAAUACGUAGGUGGCAAGCGUUGUCCGGAUUUAUUAGGCGUAAAGCGAGUGCAGGCGGUCUUUUAAGUCUGAUGUGAAAGCCUUCGGCUUAACCGAAGAAGGGCAUCG
rnacentral:rRNA from 1 species